UACGUAGGUGGCAAGCGUUGUCCGGAAUUAUUGGGCGUAAAGCGCGCGCAGGCGGUCCUUUAAGUCUGAUGUGAAAGCCCACGGCUCAACCGUGGAGGGUCAUUGGAAACUGGGGGACUUGAGUGCAGAAGAGGAGAGUGGAAUUCCACGUGUAGCGGUGAAAUGCGUAGAGAUGUGGAGGAACACCAGUGGCGAAGGCGGCGCCCUGGCUCGCAACUGACGCUCAGACACGACAGCAUGGGGAGCGAACGGG
rnacentral:rRNA from 1 species